rnacentral:lncRNA from 1 species
UCGGUUUUAAUAGAGCCUUGCUGGAGAACGAGUAACCACGACAAGAUCUAUAGAGAUUUUAGAGAAACAUAAAAUUAACAAUCACAAUUAUUAAAAAAAUGGAGACAAAGCACAAAAAUGAUGGUGGCAGUAGUGUUGCUUCGGGCUAGAGCUCGUUGGUCAAAAUCUCAACGAGCUAGUCAUAGAGUUGAGGUUGCAUUGGGAGAUAAAGGGACGACGCAUGAUGCUCUUUACACCUUAAAACUCGCCUGUCGGUGGCCAAAUACAGUGACGUAGUGGGAAAAAAAGAGGGCGGUGGCGGUGGUUAUUGUAGAGUCCGCUGGUGGACAGUCUGGCGAAGCUCGAUAGGAAGAGGGAAGAAAGAGAGAGAUCGAAGAGAGGUGUGGUGAUGGCUGGAUGUUGGUGGUGUUUUUAGUGGUCGCCAGCCAUCCGGUUGUCAAGACCGGCGGUGGCAGAUCGACGAGGAGGAAGAGAAAGUGGCCGAAGCCCAUUUGCCGAAGCUCCGAUAGUGACGGUGGUAAUGAGGGAUAAAUAUAGAGAGAUGUAUAUAUGUGUGGUGAAUUGUGUUUUGUGUCUAUUGUUGCUG